UUUUUGUGAAACAUUGAAAUGUCGUUCAAGAACAGUCUAUCAACAGGGCAUCACUGCGUUGUUUACGGCUGCAGUUAUAACCAGAAGAAGAGGAACGCUGCAAGAAAAGAGCUCUGCGGCACGCACAACGUAUUGCAAGAGGUGUGCGGAUGCAACGUGUAUUUGCUGCAUCGGUUUCCCGCUGACACCGAUUUGAAAAGACAGUGGGUCGCCGCAGUCAACAGAAAAGAUUUUGUGCCGUCGCCUUCAUCACGUUUAUGUUCUGCGCAUUUUGUUGACGGCAAGCGCACCGAUCUAAACCCCGUGCCGAUGCUUCGCCUCGGAUACGAAAGAAAGGUACUCAAAGGACGAAGACGUGUAGUAAAGCACGACGGUCCACAGUUAAAGAAAAAGAGGACAGCUGAGAACGUAGCACCAGCCUCACCAUUAGGCAUUCACAAUCUCGACACAGGAAAAGCCGACUUUCCCAAGGACGCUUGCCAGG
rnacentral:lncRNA from 1 species